rnacentral:rRNA from 1 species
GAUCAUGGCUCAGGAUAAACGCUGGCGGCGCACAUAAGACAUGCAAGUCGAACGGACUUAACCGUUAGUUUACUAAUGGAGCGGUUAGUGGCGGACUGGUGAGUAACACGUAAGCAACCUGCCUAUCAGAGGGGAACAACAGUUAGAAAUGACUGCUAAUACCGCAUAUGCCUUAGCAACACAUGUUGCAAAAGGGAAAGGAGCAAUCCACUGAUAGAUGGGCUUGCGU